CCGGCCGCGGAAUUCGCCCUUUGCCAGCAGCGCGCGGUAAUACGUAGGGUGCAAGCGUUAAUCGGAAUUACUGGGCGUAAAGCGUGCGCAGGCGGUUAUAUAAGACAGAUGUGAAAUCCCCGGGCUCAACCUGGGAACUGCAUUUGUGACUGUAUAGCUAGAGUACGGCAGAGGGGGAUGGAAUUCCGCGUGUAGCAGUGAAAUGCGUAGAUAUGCGGAGGAACACCGAUGGCGAAGGCAAUCCCCUGGGCCUGUACUGACGCUCAUGCACGAAAGCGUGGGGAGCAAACAGGAUUAGAUACCCUGGUAGUCC
rnacentral:rRNA from 1 species